rnacentral:ribozyme from 1 species
GCCGCCCAUAGGUGCUGCCUCUGCGUGGCGGGUGGCAGGCAACGGAGGAGUUCUCCGGCUAAAGCACUG